GACGAACGCUGGCGGCGUGCCUAAUACAUGCAAGUUGAGCGCUGAAGGUUGGUACUUGUACCGACUGGAUGAGCAGCGAACGGGUGAGUAACGCGUGGGGAAUCUGCCUUUGAGCGGGGGACAACAUUUGGAAACGAAUGCUAAUACCGCAUAAAAACUUUAAACACAAGUUUUAAGUUUGAAAGAUGCAAUUGCAUCACUCAAAGAUGAUCCCGCGUUGUAUUAGCUAGUUGGUGAGGUAAAGGCUCACCAAGGCGAUGAUACAUAGCCGACCUGAGAGGGUGAUCGGCCACAUUGGGACUGAGACACGGCCCAAACUCCUACGGGAGGCAGCAGUAGGGAAUCUUCGGCAAUGGACGAAAGUCUGACCGAGCAACGCCGCGUAAGUGAAGAAGGUUUUCGGAUCGUAAAACUCUGUUGGUAGAGAAGAACGUUGGUGAGAGUGGAAAGCUCAUCAAGUGACGGUAACUACCCAGAAAGGGACGGCUAACUACGUG
rnacentral:rRNA from 1 species